ensembl:lncRNA LINC02608 long intergenic non-protein coding RNA 2608
GGGGAAGCGCUCCUCCACCAGCGGGCAUUUUUGCGCUCACGCGCGACUGCUCCAGGCUGUCAUUGCUCUCCUGACCGUCUACGAGAAGACUGGGAAACUUGAGAGGGAUUCCCCAGGAUCAACCAUCUGAGCAGAUACCUUGGAAUGUCCCCAGAUUUCAGAGCCUCGGACCAGCAGCAACACACUCUGAAGUAGGUCUCAGAAGACAAAAAGCUGAAAUCAACUCAUGCUUCCUGCUACACAGAAUCCACUGAGAGGAAAAGGAAACUUCACCGAAACUUCAGAAAGCUACAGAAAUGACAUCCAUUUUCACAAUCCCAGAAGGAAAGAUGCAUCUGAAGGGAAUAAAAACAGAGCAAUGGAAGAGUAUUUGUUAAAAUAAAUGGCUUUGACAGGG